GACGAACGCUGGCGGCGUGCUUAACACAUGCAAGUCGAACGGAAAGGCCCUGCUUUUGUGGGGUGCUCGAGUGGCGAACGGGUGAGUAACACGUGAGUAACCUGCCCUUGACUUUGGGAUAACUUCAGGAAACUGGGGCUAAUACCGGAUAGGAGCUCCUGCUGCAUGGUGGGGGUUGGAAAGUUUCGGCGGUUGGGGAUGGACUCGCGGCUUAUCAGCUUGUUGGUGGGGUAGUGGCUUACCAAGGCUUUGACGGGUAGCCGGCCUGAGAGGGUGACCGGCCACAUGGGGAAUGAGAUACGGCCCAGACUCCUACGGGAGGCAGCAGUGGGGAAGAGUGAACAAUGGGCGGAAGCCUGAUGCAGCAACGCCGGGUGCGGGAUGACGGCCUUCGGGUUGUAAACCGCUUUCGCCUGUGACGAAGCGGGAGUGACGGUAAUGGGGAAAGAAGCACCGGCUAACUACGU
rnacentral:rRNA from 1 species